AGCCGGCUGGAGCCGGCAACCGCCUUGUCCUCCUUCGUUUCGCGUUUUGUCGAAUAUACAAUUAGCCUACCUCUAUCCGUCGCCCCGUCUCAUCGAAAAGCCGGCAACCGUUUUAUUGCCCUCAUCUUUCGUUUCGUAUUUUGCCAAAGGUUAUUUUGUACAAGUUCUACAAUCCAACUGCAGGAGAAGCAUACAAUGAAGCAUUCACAAAAAAAGUUUUAGAAGAAUCUAUAAAAAAAUAGCUAAGGAGAGCGAAAGAAAGAUCCGAUGCAGAUGAAAAAAAACUUGCAAACCAAGAACGUAUUGAAUAAUCACUAAUUGUAAUAUGUUGACGCCGCUGUGAAAAACGAAGUGAACGUGUUUGAAAAAUUUUGUGGAAACUUGGAUGUUGUAUUCAACAACAUUAGACAUGUGUACAAAGUCUAAAAGCGUUCUUCCCAUUAGAAACCUGCUUACUUUGCGUCAGCCAGAAAACAUUCUUUCUACAAAAUUAUAGCAUUAUUUUUUAGCUAUGUGUCUGUCUCAUUUGAAAAAUCGCGAUUCUACUAUUACUACUACUUUACUCCGUCUAGAGAAUGAACAUAUUUAAAGGGUUGCCGCUUUGUCGCAUAAGUUAAUAUCUUUAAUAUCUUUCAUAUCUUUAAUAUCUUUAAAAUCUAAUCUCAACUGUAUCCGAGAAGCACGUAUAGCGACGUGUAUGCUUUGUAGUUUUACGCACAGAUCUCGUGAUUUUUUCGAUUUGAUUGACGGAUUUCAUCCCAUUUUUUUUUGUUUUUAUAAGAUUAUGAGCUGUAAACGCGAGUAAAUAUACAAUAAUGGAUAUUAAGGGCCUUACGUGAAGAUGGACGAGCAAACGUAUGAGGUAUAGAAAUUUGAUAUUAUAAAGUAUAGCAGCGAAAUUCGAGGGAGGUAGACUGGCGUUAUACGUUAUGUUGCGAAAGAUGUGUCGAAUAGACUUUAUAUAGUUUAUAUAGUUUAUAUAGUUACCAAAGCUUAUUAUGUAGCAUCCAAUUAAUAAAAUAUUGGUUAACAUAAAAAAAUCAUAUUUUUUUAUGAACUAUUGUAUAUUCAACACUU